CUAACGGUUUUCUGAGGGAGUUGGAAAGAGAUAAGAGAGAGACCUUGGGGAACAAUUUUAAAGUGGCUCAAUAGCGAUCGCAGAGCCAAACUCAUACCUACAUCAAUGUGGUGCAGAGAAUCUCUAAGAAUUUUUAAUGCUGAAUUGGAGCAAAGAAACUUCAAGGAGGAAGCAAAGUGAAGAACACAGAUUUCACAGAUGGGAUGCCUGGCUCAAAUUCCAGCUUGACCGCUGGUAGCUGUGUGACCCUCGGCAAGUUACUUGACCUCUCUCUACUCAGUGUCCUCAUCUGUCAGAUUUUGGUAUCUGACUGAUGCUGUCUUCGUGGAAUGAGUUAGGAAAGAGUCCCUCCUCGUCAACUGUUGGGAAUACAUUCAGCAGGGUUGGUAUCAUUGCAUGUCUGGCAGAAUUUGACUAGGAAUCCAUCUGGUCCAGGAUUUUUUUUGUUGGUGUAAUGAGAUUCACUGAAGAAUUCUCAGAGUGGAAUGAGCAACAGAUUUUCAUUAGCGAAAGCUCCUCUAGCUGCUGCAUGAAAUGAUGUCUAGACAGAGGGAGGGGCCAAGAUGGCUGAAUAGGAACAGCUCCAAUCUGCAGCUCCAAGCAAGACGAAUGCAGAAGAUAGCAGAUUGUAUUCCCAUCUCUUCAGAUAGAGAGUUCUUGGAGAAAUUUAAAAUAUGCAGUUUAGAAUCUGUAAUGGCCCCGGUUAGUGCAUACCCGACUUACUGGCCUUCCAAGUAGGCUCCUGGUAAAAAGAAAUGCGUAAAUGGCGACAGUAGAGCCAGCCUUCAUGAAUCCAGAAAUGUGAGCCACAUUUUGAGGAUAGCAGAGUCACUGCAGAAGCCUGGAUCCUUGCAUAACCUUGUCGAGUGGGAAAAUCUACCCAUACUUGACCAACCACCUAACUGGGGGCUCUACAUCUGAGAGAAAUGAUUUUUUAUCUUAUUUAAGCCACUGUAGUUAGGAGUCAGUUUAUUACAGGACAUUGCCUGGUGUUCCAACAAAUAAACUACCUUAUUUGUUUCAAUAAAUAAA
ensembl:lncRNA HAS2-AS1 HAS2 antisense RNA 1